CAGCAAACCUUUCCCUGCUGUGAGGUGGGCAAGUUAGUUGCUCCAAAUACAAGAUAAAGUGAUUGAGUUCUUUUCUCAAGCGGGAGUCGGAGUUUAUCCACUCUUAGAGCCCCAGCAGCUACUAUUAAUGAGUGUCUGGAAUAUGUUCCUGGCAUUUCACCUACACUCUCUCCAAUCCUUCCAAGAAACUCACAAAGCAGGGCUUUUUCUUGAACUUCUCUUCCUCACAACAGUUAAAUCAUCCAUUUAAAGAUGUCAGACAAGCUCUGUGUUCUAAGCCAGACCAUCAAUUUAACUUGUAAAACUACCAACUGUUGCUACACACAGGCAAAGGAAUUAAACUUGGUAGCUGAUCAUUUGAUUACAUCUAUCAGUCUACUGGAGGGCUUCAACGCAGAGUAGGUGGAAUUCAUGGUUCAAAUCAGAGUAUUAAUGGGAUCUGUUUGCACACCAAUACCUGAUCUCCUUGGCACAAAUACAGAGCUGAUUCUUAAAGCAUGUCCCCACAAUAAAGCUUUUCUUAAUCAUU
rnacentral:antisense_RNA from 1 species